CACAUGCAAGUCUAGCGGAAACGAGUUAUCUGAACCUUCGGGGAACGAUAACGGCGUCGAGCGGCGGACGGGUGAGUAAUGCCUAGGAAAUUGCCCUGAUGUGGGGGAUAACCAUUGGAAACGAUGGCUAAUACCGCAUAAUGCCUACGGGCCAAAGAGGGGGACCUUCGGGCCUCUCGCGUCAGGAUAUGCCUAGGUGGGAUUAGCUAGUUGGUGAGGUAAUGGCUCACCAAGGCGACGAUCCCUAGCUGGUCUGAGAGGAUGAUCAGCCACACUGGAACUGAGACACGGUCCAGACUCCUACGGGAGGCAGCAGUGGGGAAUAUUGCACAAUGGGCGCAAGCCUGAUGCAGCCAUGCCGCGUGUGUGAAGAAGGCCUUCGGGUUGUAAAGCACUUUCAGUCGUGAGGAAGGUAGUGUAGUUAAUAGCUGCAUUAUUUGACG
rnacentral:rRNA from 1 species